GGCCGAUCAAAGUCAGACAGAGUGCUUGUAUUGUAAGAAGCAGGAUCGUUGGAAAAGGAGCUAUCUUCAAUACAUAAUUUUUCUUGAUCCAAGCAGGUUGAAAAAGAAGAAGCAAUUGGUUGUUGGACAAGAUAAUUAUAUGAUAACACCUUGUAACUUCUCAAUUUUUGAUACAAUGACCUAAAUAUUAGAUACUGGUAGUCCUAUUAACAUUUGCAAUUCAUUGUAGGGA
rnacentral:lncRNA from 1 species